UGGGUGUUGCUACAACCACAGAGCUAGUGCCAUAGUCCCAUUUAAACCAGCACUGUGUUCAUCAUUUAUCAAAAACACCCCCUCCAAGGAGAAUUAUGUUGGAUUUAUCACCUUUAUACCAGCGUGUCCACAGCAGCUGAAAGCCAAGGUUUUCCAGAAGAGGGCUGGAGGAGAAAGUGACGGCUGUUCAGAGACUCUGUGUUUACAGCUAACAGGACAGGUACAGUGGGUGUCCCUCGCCCUCAGGUCCAGACUCGUUCUGUCAGUCUGGUUCUCAUCUCCACAAAGAUAAACUUCAACGUAAACCGACUUCAUUCUUCUUCACUCAACCAGAAACACUUCCUGUUCUGUCAAAACAGCAGAAGAAGAAACAGCUGCAGCUCACAGCUCAGGAAACACUUGCAGACCUCAUACUUUACCUGGUCCUGGUCCUGGCCCUGGUUCUGGCCCCGGAUCUGAUAAUGGUCUUUAUUUGUAUAUUGUUUAUUUUUAAAUCAACUCAGUCUCUUUUGUACAUUUUAUUGUCACACACCAUUGUUUGUAACCUGGGCCUGAUUCUGAUUUUGGGCCUGUACCUGGGCCUGACCCAUUAUUGAUUGUGGACUCGGACUUGACCUCAUAGUCUACUCACCUGAACCAGUUCCUAAUAAAGGACCUUCUCUAUAUUGUUCAUUCUUAAUUGACCACAGCAACCUCUGUUCAUUUUACUUUCAUGCUUUCUUUUGAACCUGUCCUAGUUCUGGUCCUGGUCUUGGACCUGACCUUACAUUGUAUAGUCUUGGUCCUGGUGUAGUCCUGGUUGUUGUCCUUAUAAUGGACUUAUUCUUAUAUUGUUAAUUCUUGAAAUCAGUAACUCCCCCUUACUUAACUGUCACACACUGCUGUUUUUAACCUGAACCUGGACCUGUUCCUAUGGACUAAAAGCCGAUCCUGCACCUGACAUAACACUCUACGGACUCUGCCCUGAACCUGUUCCUGACCCCAAACUGUCCUGGUCUUGAACCUGAUAAAUGACGAUGUUGCUAUUAUUCACUCCUAAAUUAACAUAUUCUUGGGCCUUGUACUGAUUCACUGUCAUUUGUUGACUUGUUCCUGGUCUUUGAACUGAAUGUAAUCCUUUUCCUGGAGCUGGUCCUGGUCCUGUAUAUACAGAAAUGUUAAUAAGAAGUAUAUGUUAUUCCAGGUCUGUUGGUGUUGAAUGUCAGUUUGUUGAAAUGAAGGACUGGGUGUGCUCUGUCCACAGUUUGUCCUCUUACUGAACCCAGAACCGUUUUUGAGAGUUGACCUGAGUUACCUGUGCUACCUUUUUUAACCCGAGUUUAGUCUGUGUUACCUGAGUUACCUGAGUUUAGUCUGUGUUACCUGAGUUACCUGAGUUUAGUCUGUG